GGGAUGCUGCGGUGGCCCAAUGGUUAACGCGCUGGACUAGCUCCGGAUCUAGCGGUCCGGGUUCAAGCCCUGGCCGUCCUC
rnacentral:tRNA from 1 species